ACUAAUAUACAAUGUGGAGCAGAUCGGCGUGGGACAAAUUGACUUUGAAGGGAUUGACUGUCAGCCGGGUCGACUUGGAGCCCCGACAACCUGAUACUAAUAUACAAUGUGGAGCAGAUCGGCGUGGGACAAAUUGACUUUGAAGGGAUUGACUGUCAGCCGGUGUCAUAUGGUAUUUUGAACCCCCUAAAAAGUGAACCCGGGGUCAAAAUACCAUGCGGUAAAAUGACCCCGGGGUCAUUAUACCGCAUGGUAUUUUGACCCCGGGGUCAUUUUUCACAUAUGGUAUUUUGAACCCCCCUGCGGUAUAUUGAACCCCCUGUUUUUGAUAAAUAUUAUUGCAGAUAAUCUAAUUUACAAUUUAUUGGCUAUCAUUUUUUUUUUCAAUUUGUGGUUUUAAGUAGGGGGUUCAAUAUACCGCAGGGGGGUCAAAAUACCAUGGCUAAGCAAAAUUUUCAAAAUAUCUUUUCCAGCAUGUUUAACACAUACAAACCACUUAUUGGAGUAUUAUAACUAUGUUAAGGAGUUAGAAUAGCUUGAAUUUUUGAAAUUCAAGGUCUAUAGUAGGGGGUUCAAUAUAUACCGCAGGGGGUUCAAAAUACCAUGGCUAAGUAAAAUUUUCAAAAUAUCUUUUCCAGUAUAUUAAAUACAUACAAACUACUUAUUGGAGUAAUAUAACUAUGUUAAGGAUUUAGAAUAGCUUGAAUUUUUGAAAUUCAAGGUCUAUAGUAGGGGGUUCAAUAUACCGCAGGGGGUUCAAAAUACCAUGGCUAAGUAAAAUUUUCAAAA
rnacentral:lncRNA from 1 species